rnacentral:rRNA from 1 species
UACGGGGGGAGCAAGCGUUGUUCGGAUUUACUGGGCGUAAAGGGCGCGUAGGCGGCCAGUGCAAGUCAGUUGUGAAAUCUCCGAGCUUAACUCGGAAAGGUCAACUGAUACUGCUCGGCUAGAGUGCGGAAGGGGCAACUGGAAUUCUUGGUGUAGCGGUGAAAUGCGUAGAUAUCAAGAGGAACACCUGAGGCGAAGGCGGGUUGCUGGGCCGACACUGACGCUGAGGCGCGAAAGCCAGGGGAGCGAACGGG